ensembl:lncRNA
UACUAUUUUCAAUUAGUCAGUAACGUUACAACCUCAUUUUCAGAUACGUUGAUUUGUUUUUUUAAUAAAAAAUGACAACCUACGUUUUUAUUGGUACAAAGUGCUAUAAGGAAGUGCUACAUAUCCAGAUGUAGUGUAAUGUAAUGUAAUACAUAUCCAGAUGUAGUGUAAUGUAAUGUAAUACAUAUCCAGAUGUAGUGUAAUGUAAUGUAAUACAUAUCCAGAUGUAGUGUAAUGUAAUACAUAUCCAGAUGUAGUGUAAUGUAAUGUAAUACACAUCCAGGUGUAAUGUAAUACAUAUCCAGAUGUAGUGUAAUGUGAUGUAAUACACAUCCAGAUGUAAUGUAAUGUAAUACAUAUCCAGAUGUAGUGUAAUGUAAUACAUAUCCAGAUGUAAUGUAAUGUAAUACACAUCCAGAUGUAAUGUAAUGUAAUACACAUCCAGAUGUAGUGUAAUGUAAUGUAAUACAUAUCCAGAUGUAAUGUAAUGUAAUACAUAUCCAGAUGUAAUGUAAUGUAAUACAUAUCCAGAUGUAGUGUAAUGUAAUGUAAUACAUAUCCAGAUGUAAUGUAAUGUAAUACAUAUCCAGAUGUAGUGUAAUGUAAUGUAAUACAUAUCCAGAUGUAAUGUAAUGUAAUACACAUCCAGGUGUAAUGUAAUGUAAUACAUAUCCAGGUGUAGUGGGUAGAGGUGUGUUUUUAGCUGUAAAGGCCUUCUG